UACGAAGGGGGCUAGCGUUGCUCGGAAUUACUGGGCGUAAAGCGCACGUAGGCGGCUUCUUAAGUCGGUGGUGAAAUCCUGGAGCUCAACUCCAGAACUGCCUUCGAUACUGGGAAGCUCGAGUCCGGGAGGGGUGAGUGGAACUGCGGGUGUAGAGGUGAAAUUCGUAGAUAUUCGGAAGAACACCGGUGGCGAAGGCGGUCUGCUGGGCCGUUUCUGACGCUGAGGCGCGAAAGCGUGGGGAGCAAACAGG
rnacentral:rRNA from 1 species